UCCUUCAGGGCGAGGUGUAAUUCCUCACCGGCGGUAAAGUCCGCGAGCUAUAUUAGCAUGAUUCGGUGCAAUUCCGAAACCGACAGUUAAAGUCUGGAUGAGAGAUAG
rnacentral:ncRNA from 1 species